GCCAUACUACGGUGCUUCAAGGUGCAAAGUAAACGAUGAUCCACCAUGAACUCUGCGGUAAAAUACGUAUCAAAAUGCAAAAUCUCCAGGCCCUGAGUUAUAUCUUGGGGUCGUAACUUUU
rfam:Erwinia tracheiphila strain BuffGH Etrach_2, whole genome shotgun sequence.